UCUAUGACCAAAGAAUACUGUCUGUGACAAUUGUGACAUUGUUGGUUACAUUUUUGAUGGUUAUGAUUUUCUCCUUACUAUUUUCGCGUUUUUUUGAAAAAUUUGUUGUGUUUGUGGUCAAGACUCUAAGGAAAAUAAUGUGCCUAUAUACGGGCGAGUGUUGCCUGAUGUAUAAGUUAAUUUAAUAGGUUUCAAAGUGGUUUCGAUAGGACUCCCACUCACAAAUUUAUAUAAUUUGUGAUUUCAAUACUUGCUCCUUCACGACAUUACAAGUGUGGCAAAUAUGAGGAUCUAAUAGCAUCUCAGACAAACCCGAGUGAUUUAACAAACUGCAAGGUACACUUAAAUAGUUACAUAGGAAAGUUGUUUGGGUAAUAUGUUUAAGUGCACCAGAAUUACAGGGAAUGUAAGAAUACAAUUUAUCUGCAAGUUUUACUAGAACAAUCACAAGAAAUACUCCUUGAUAAUUACAAAUUCUUGUCAACCUCAAUGUGGGAGAGUUUUCGUUUGUCAUCAUCACGCUUAGUGAUGACUUGCCUUUCGGUUGGUCAAAAAUUACAGAAAGUGGGAAAUUACCAGAAUCAGUUCAGGUGCAACAGGAAGAACUUUAACGAUACAUCUGCAAGAUAUUUUUGGGAAGUCUGAAGGCAUUAAAGGAAAUCUUUGAGAAUUACCAGGAAUUCUAAGCAACUAUUCAAAAUUUUGGGGUACUUCAUUUGUAGGUCACCUACCUCCUUAGAGAGGACAACUUGAGUAGGAAUAAUAUUAUCUGCAAAACUGGGAACACCACAAAUGAUUGAAAAUCCCGAACGACGUUCGGUCCCGUUUCGGAAAGUCUCGCCAGUUGCAAGUGAGCCUUGGGAUAACACAGAUUUAUGGGCCUCUACCCCCCUAGCAUACUUUACAAAUAAGAUGGGGUCUAUAGCCACAUGCGAAUCACAUAAAAAGUACUUAUGGUAAUACAAAAAUACUUUAAAUCUACAACAUCGUGGACCUGGCUUCUGGACUCAACUCACGGCUCCAGACCGGCCCAGAAAUGUCCCUAGUGGCUCCAUCAAAUCUUUUGUUAUUGAAUUGGUAUAGCAGAAAAUAUUUGUACUGAUUGUUCUCUUUUAUGAUGUUAAACUAUAUAUGGUUGAAAUGAAACAAAAAUUUUAUGCAAGCAUUUUAUUAAUUAUUCCCAAAACAUAGUAUGUCCGCCAUAUUUUUGUUUCAUCCAAAUUUCCCUGUAUUUGACAUACAAUCCACAGAGCCUUGUCCAAGUAAAAUUGUAUAAUAAAUUUUCUUAUUUUUAGGACAAAGGUAACUUCUACCUUUAUACACCUUAUUAGGAGUUGCCAGCAAUUUUUUUAAUAAACGUCAAAUAUAUUUAUUUAAGACUUCAAAAAUUACCAAAAAAGGUCAUAUACCUGUUGCCACUGCCUAGAGGUACAUACUGAGUUGAAGGAAGUAAGGCACCUUCAGCAUUUCUAAUAUUACAUUAACAUAAUUGAAAUUUAUUAAUACUUAUACAGUUUCAGUGGUACAGUGUAAUGUACUGCACAUUUAUACAAAUAUUUUUAUUACUAAUAACUUCUUUACCUUGUCGCGAGUCUAUUGCAUAUAUUCUUUUGGUUAGUUUGGUAGUUGCAAUUCCUGUCUUGUAUUUGGUCCUUCAAGUGUUCAUGAUUAUGUUGUUCCUUCCUUAAGAUGAAUACACAGUUCUCUUCAACUUUUCUAGAUGCUUGAUAUUUUGUUUCUGUGCUUCUAAGAUAUCUUUUUGCAAUAACUCGAAUAUACAUAUAUUUAUUAACCCUUAAUCCGAUAAAUUGAAUAAUGUUAUAAAAUACGACGUUUCUGCACUAAACAUGAAAAUUGUCUUUUUUGUUAUCUACUAUAAAAUAUUAAAUCAAUUUUACCUCGUUCCGUUAGACCUUCUGCAUGAAUAAUACAUAAAUUUGUCGUGAAUAACUAUUUGUUAAGGGCUUAUGUUCCUGUUCUGCAUUACCCUAUGAAUUUACUACCCACAAUUAACUGAAUUUCUGUUUAAGAAAAGUAAUAAAAUGUUAACGUAGUAAGAUAAAUCAUUUUAAAUAAGUUUCAAACUUGAUAUCCCUAUAAAAAUCGCUGGUUCUAACCUAAACAUUCUGUCACUCGAUCACGUAUAUGUCACGACUCAGCUGGUGGCGGAUCUGCUGUUACAAACCACCCCCUGCCCGAACCCGAAAGCCGUCCGGAAUUUUCGAUCAUUCGAACAUUCGUUCAUUUGCUACCAUCUCGCAAAACUUGGGAGGAAGAGAUAUUGAUUAGUCCCCAACUAUUUUCCUAACCCUUGUUUAGCUCGAGAAUAAGUCCUUGACUCGUAUAUAUCACCUACCUCUCUUGUGUGAGUAACUAUUUAGUACAAGUUAUGGGACUAAUCCAUGUUCUCUAUCCCAUUUUUUUUGCAGACUUGCGCAUAUGUCUGUUUUUUAGUUUUGAUAUAAUAAUCUCUUAUUCAGGUACUGUCAUUCAAUUUACAUUUUAUUUGUUAGUUUACGAAAAGAUGAAAUUGUAACGAAACAAUGGAUAACAUUGCUUGUCAACGACCUUCCAGGGAGGCUAAUAGCUUUAAAAGAUCAUCCAUAUCUGGGGGUCAGAUCACUCCUUUAAGCUAUAGAAGAGGUGGUAAAGUCUUGAUAAAGUAGCCAGUGCAGGGUCUUUUAGGUAGAUAUUAUGAUUAUUUAAAGUGCCAAAUGGUACCUUUUUUUUCUAACCAGACUGAUAAAAUUUAUAAUAAUAAUAUAUAUAAUAUAAUAAUUCCACAUUCUUCAAAAAUAUUUUGUUGGUAAUAUGUUACGUUGCGGUUAUGUUGUGACUGAAUUUUUUCCUUCUUGAACAUAAGAGAAAUUUUUGUUGAUAGGGGGCGUUUUUAGGUUUUAUUUACAAGUCAAUAUAAUAAUUUCAUUCCUAGGUAGAACUAGAGCAGAAACCAGCAGAUCUUUAAUCUUCAGUGGUAGUCAAAACAACAUUAUAAGUUAUAGAGAAGCUUGGUACAGAAUAACCAGGGGUCAUCAGAUUUUAAAAAGAACUUAAGGCACAGUAACAUAUUGUCAACAAGUGCUUCUGAUUUAAAUUUUGUUUAGAAUUUACAGUUAAUGAAAUUUGUGCUGUAGUUAUUCUAAUAAUAAUUACUAAUAUUUUAUUGUAUUAUAAAUGAAAAUUUUUUUAGUGGUUUCAUAUUCUGUUUUGAAAUUUUUAAAGGUGGUGGUCCUCUCAAAUCAUGUAAUAUAAAAGUUCCUUGAAAAAUAAAAAAUAAAUAUUAUUAUGCUAUUACAAACAUGCAGCAUUUAUUUUUAUGUAAUUUCUUAAUGUAUUUAUGAACAACAAUAUAUUUUAUUCUUUUAAAUAAAGGUCUUAUUAAAUA